AUUGAACGCUGGCGGCAGGCCUAACACAUGCAAGUCGAACGAGUGGCGGACGGGAGAGUAAUGUCUGGGACACUGCCUGAUGGAGGGGGAUAACUACUGGAAACGGUAGCUAAUAACGCAUACCAUCAGAUGUGCCCAGACGGGAUUAGCUAGUUGGUAUGGUAACGGCUCACCAAGGCGACGAUCCCUAGAUGGUCUGAGAGGAUGACCAGCGACACUGGAACUGAUACACGGUCCCGCCUCCUACGGGAGGCAGCAGUGGGGAAUAUUGCACAAUGGGCGCAAGCCUGAUGCAGCAAUGCCGGGUGUAUGAAGAAGGCCUUCGGGUUGUAAAGUACUUUCAGCGGGGAGGCGUUACCCGCAGAAGAAGCACCGGCUAACUCCGUGCCAGCAGCCGCGGUAAUAC
rnacentral:rRNA from 1 species